UACGUAGGGUGCAAGCGUUGUCCGGAAUUAUUGGGCGUAAAGGGCUCGUAGGCGGUCUGUCACGUCGGCUGUGAAAACCCGAGGCUCAACCUCGGGCCUGCAGUCGAUACGGGCAGACUAGAGUUCGGUAGGGGAGACUGGAAUUCCUGGUGUAGCGGUGAAAUGCGCAGAUAUCAGGAGGAACACCGGUGGCGAAGGCGGGUCUCUGGGCCGAAACUGACGCUGAGGAGCGAAAGCGUGGGGAGCGAACAGG
rnacentral:rRNA from 1 species